UGGCGAGUGGCGGACGGGUGAAGUAAAGCGCAGGAAUCCUACCCUCAAGGAGGGGACGAACCGGGAACCGGGGCUAAUACCGCAUAAUCCUGCAAAGGGAAAGCAGCAAUGCGCUGAAAGAGGAGCCCGCGGCCGAUUAGCUAGUUGGUGAGGUAAUGGCUCACCAAGGCGGUGAUCGGUAGCCGGCCUGAGAGGGCACACGGCCACACUGGCACUGAAACACGGGCCAG
rnacentral:rRNA from 1 species